rnacentral:rRNA from 1 species
AUUGAACGCUGGCGGCAUGCCUUACACAUGCAAGUCGAACGGCAGCAUGCUCUAGCUUGCUAGAUUGAUGGCGAGUGGCGGGCGGGUGAGUAAUACAUAGGAACGUGCCCUGUAGUGGGGGAUAACUAGUCGCAAGAUUAGCUAAUACCGCAUACGACCUGAGGGUGAAAGGGGGGGAGCGCAAGGCCUCAGGCUGUAGGGGCGGCCGAUGUCUGAUUAGCUAGUUGGUGAGGUAAAGGCUCACCAAGGCGAGGAUCAGUAGCUGGUCUGAGAGGACGAUCAGCCACACUGGGACGUAGACAGGGCCAAGACUACUACGGGAGGCAGCAGAGGGGAAUUUUGGACAAUGGGGGAAAGCCUGAUCCAGUAAGGCCACGUGUGUGAAGAAGGCCUUCGGGGUGGAAAGACGGCUUGUCCGGAAAGAAAUGGUUCUGGUUAAUACCUGGGGUGAAUGACGGUACCGGAAAAAUAAGGACCGGCUAACUACGUG